UACGUAGGGUGCGAGCGUUGUCCGGAAUUAUUGGGCGUAAAGGGCUCGUAGGCGGUCUGUCACGUCGAAAGUGAAAACUCAGGGCUUAACCCUGAGCCUGCUUCCGAUACGGGCAGACUAGAGGUAUGCAGGGGAGAACGGAAUUCCUGGUGUAGCGGUGGAAAUGCGCAGAUAUCAGGAAGAACACCCGUGGCGAAGGCGGCUCUCUGGGACGGUACUGACGCUGAGACGCGAAAGCGUGGGGAGCGAACAGG
rnacentral:rRNA from 1 species